rnacentral:rRNA from 1 species
GAUGAACGCUGGCGGCGUGCCUAAUACAUGCAAGUCGAGCGAACGGACGAGAAGCUUGCUUCUCUGAUGUUAGCGGCGGACGGGUGAGUAACACGUGGAUAACCUACCUAUAAGACUGGGAUAACUUCGGGAAACCGGAGCUAAUACCGGAUAAUAUUUUGAACCGCAUGGUUCAAAAGUGAAAGACGGUCUUGCUGUCACUUAUAGAUGGAUCCGCGCUGCAUUAGCUAGUUGGUAAGGUAACGGCUUACCAAGGCAACGAUGCAUAGCCGACCUGAGAGGGUGAUCGGCCACCCUGGAACUGAGACACGGUCCAGACUCCUACGGGAGGCAGCAGUAGGGAAUCUUCCGCAAUGGGCGAAAGCCUGACGGAGCAACGCCGCGUGAGUGAUGAAGGUCUUCGGAUCGUAAAACUCUGUUAUUAGUGAAGAACAUAUGUGUAAGUAACUGUGCACAUCUUGACGGUACCUAAUCAGAAAGCCACGGCUAACUACGUG